rnacentral:rRNA from 1 species
GGCGAACGCUGGCGGCGUGCUUAACACAUGCAAGUCGAACGGAAAGGCCCUGCUUUUGUGGGGUGCUCGAGUGGCGAACGGGUGAGUAACACGUGAGUAACCUGCCCUUGACUUUGGGAUAACUUCAGGAAACUGGGGCUAAUACCGGAUAGGAGCUCCUGCUGCAUGGUGGGGGUUGAAAAGUUUCGGCGGUUGGGGAUGGACUCGCGGCUUAUCAGCUUGUUGGUGGGGUAGUGGCUUACCAAGGCUUUGACGGGUAGCCGGCCUGAGAGGGUGACCGGCCACAUUGGGACUGAGAUACGGCCCAGACUCCUACGGGAGGCAGCAGUGGGGAAUAUUGCACAAUGGGCGGAAGCCUGAUGCAGCAACGCCGCGUGCGGGAUGACGGCCUUCGGGUUGUAAACCGCUUUCGCCUGUGACGAAGCGUGAGUGACGGUAAUGGGUAAAGAAGCACCGGCUAACUACGUG